rnacentral:misc_RNA from 1 species
GAUGAAGAACGUAGCGAAAUGUGAUAAGUAAUGUGAAUUGCAGAAUUCAGUGAAUCAUCGAAUCUUUGAACGCACAUUGCGCCCCUUGGUAUUCCGAGGGGCAUGCCUGUUCGAGCGUCAUUAUAACCCCUCAAGCUCAGCUUGGUGUUGGGGCCUGCUGCACUGGCAGCCCUUAAAAUCAGUGGCGGCGCCAUCUGGCUCUAAGCGUAGUAAUUCUUCUCGCUAUGGAGUCCUGGUGGAUGCUUGCCAUCAACCCCCAAUUUUUCUAUGGUUGACCUCGGAUCAGGUAGGAAUACCCGCUGAACUUAAGCAUAUCAAUAAGCGGAGGA